rnacentral:misc_RNA from 1 species
UCGCGCAUUGGCAAGCGCUGAACGCGCGCGCGGCGCACGAAUCGGCGAAGGCCGGCCCGCGCUUCGACAAGCGCGGGCAACUGCUGCCGCGCGAGCGGCUCGCGCUGCUCGUCGACGCCGGCGCGCCGUUUCUCGAGCUUGCGUCGCUCGCCGGCUAUCUGGUCGGCGAAAGCGAUCCGGACCAAUCGGUGCCGGGCGCGGGGCUCAUCGGCGGCAUCGGCUACGUGAGCGGCACGCGCUGCAUGAUCGUCGUCGCCGAUUCGGGCAUCGACGCGGGCGCGCUGCAACCGAUGGGCCUCGAGAAGUUUCAGCGGCUGCAGCGGAUCGCGCUCGAGCACCGGCUGC